GGGGGGGUAUUCGUUUAAAUAUUAAUUUUAGUUGUCUUAGGUUCAUUUUUGUCGUUAACUCUGUUAUUGGGUUUGAUUGCUUGGCUGUGCUCUCAAAAGUUUAAUUUUGGCUUGGGAUUUCAGUGUAUCUUUUUUUUUACAUGCGUGGG
rnacentral:rRNA from 1 species